AGUUCUACAGUCCGAGGGUGCUGCUACUCCCUGUGCCCACCUGCUCUGGAAGUGGUUGCAACUUGUGCAUAAAUCCUGUUCUUUGACAUCUG